UACGUAGGGGGCAAGCGUUGUCCGGAAUCAUUGGGCGUAAAGCGCGUGUAGGCGGUUCGAUAAGUCUGGUGUGAAAGUCCAGGGCUCAACCCUGGGAUGCCGGUGGAUACUGCGGGGCUAGAGUGCGGAAGGGGCAACUGGAAUUCUCGGUGUAGCGGUGAAAUGCGUAGAUAUCGAGGGGAACACCUGCGGCGAAGGCGGGUCGCUGGGCCGACACUGACGCUGAUGCGCGAAAGCCAGGGGAGCGAACGGG
rnacentral:rRNA from 1 species